GACAGAGGCCCCAAGCGUUAGGCGGAAUCACUGGGCUUAAAGCGUGUGUAGGCGGACGCCUAAGUGUCUUGUGAAAUCCCACGGCUCACCCGUGGAACUGCUGGGCAUACUGGGCGUCUUGGGCCAACUAGGGGCAGCCGGAACAAGCGGUGGAGCGGUGAAAUGCGUAGAUAUCGCUUGGAACGCCGAAGGUGGAAACAGGCUGCUGGGGUUGUGCCGACGCUGAGACACGAAAGCCAGGGGAGCAAACGGG
rnacentral:rRNA from 1 species